CCCCGGCGCUGCAGACAUAAAGCCGGGUCCGGCAGGGGAGGUGCCGGGGCUUCGGGCCUUGCCGAGCGCUGGGUCUCCCGACGGAAAUUGCCGAAGGCUCGCGGAGGCGCCCACGCCGGGGUGGGGGGGGCGGAUUUCGGCCGGGGGAGCGAAUCCGGGUCGGCCUACCUGGGUCGGAGCCCAAAAUUGGAACUGAGGCCAAAGGGGCAGUCUUGCUGAGGACCCCUGCUGCUGCCAAGGACUGUCCAUCCACAGGAAGACUUCCCUUGACAGCCCCGUCCUGAGGCAACUGGUUCUGGUGGGCAGCUGGUAGACAUGAGGGCAGAGCUGCAGCACCCAGUUGGAGCCAGUUGGGCCCAAGACAACUCGGUGAGAGGUUUCGGAAGGAGCUCACCUGAAGUAUAAGCACCGAGUGAGCGUUGUGUGUUGUGUGCCUGUGGUCAGAGUGCAAAGUGAGACAGAAGACAGGUGCCACACGUCUGAUCUCUCCAGGCUUCUUCGAGCUCUUUCUCCUUCCCACCCUGGCACGCAAAGAUGAACCACCAGCGUGGAGAUGCACCACUGUGCAUAGAGCUCUCACCUGCUUUGCUGGUCUUGAAUAUGGAGGAAAAAUUACAGCCCACAAAAUGAAGUUACUGAGCUACCAACGUAUACCUGUGAAACAAAGAUCAGAUUUCAGUAAUAAGGAGGGAAACUUGGGACCAAGUCUUAAACGGAGCAACGGCUUCCAUGGCCCUUGGGGCUGCCUCUGCACAGGCAGUUAAUCAUCUGCCUGAACAAUCCAAUCAAUACCCAUGACCUUUCCUUCAGCAGUCUUUCUCCUGCCGUUUCUCCUCUCCUCGUGCAGUCAAAAGGAAGAUAAUGGGAUCAUUUCCUUUAGAAAAUAAACAUGAAUAUGAACCCAGUUCAUAAACUAUUUGUUAUUAAAAUGAAAUCCCCUAGGGAAAUUAUGUUUAGAUACCAAAAUUAUAAGGCUGAUAUUUGACAUUAUUUAUGGUUUAUAGCAUCCUCACAUGUGUCUGUCGAUCUGAUCUAUUAUAGUUUCUAUUACAUUGUCUCAUAGAG